rnacentral:pre_miRNA from 1 species
AAGCUAUUCCCUCCGUCCAAAAAUACUUGUAUGAGAAAUGGAUGUAUCUAGACUUAUUUUAGUUCUAAAUACAUCAAUUUUUAUCCAUUUCCGCGGCACGUAAUUUCUGACGGAGGGAGGAGAUA